AGUGAACGCUGGCGGUAGGCCUAACACAUGCGAGUCGAACGGCAGCACAGUAAGAGCUUGCUCUUACGGGUGGCGAGUGGCGGGCGGGUGAGGAAUACAUCGGAAUCUACUUUUUCGUGGGGGAUAACGUAGGGAAACUUACGCUAAUACCGCAUACGACCUACGGGUGAAAGCAGGGGAUCUUCGGACCUUGCGCGAUUGAAUGAGCCGAUGUCGGAUUAGCUAGUUGGCGGGGUAAAGGCCCACCAAGGCGACGAUCCGUAGCUGGUCUGAGAGGAUGAUCAGCCACACUGGAACUGAGACACGGUCCAGACUCCUACGGGAGGCAGCAGUGGGGAAUAUUGGACAAUGGGCGCAAGCCUGAUCCAGCCAUACCGCGUGGGUGAAGAAGGCCUUCGGGUUGUAAAGCCCUUUUGUUGGGAAAGAAAAGCAGCAGGUUAAUACCCCGCUGUUCUGACGGUACCCAAAGAAUAAGCACCGGCUAACUUCGUG
rnacentral:rRNA from 1 species